UACGGGGGGUGCGAGCGUUGUCCGGAAUCACUGGGCGUAAAGGGCGCGUAGGUGGUUUGAUAAGGGUGUGGUGAAAGUCCGGGGCUCAACCCCGGAUCUGCCGUGCCGACUGUCAAACUCGAGGACUGUAGAGGCAGACGGAAUUCCGGGUGUAGUGGUGGAAUGCGUAGAGAUCCGGAGGAAGACCGGUGGCGAAGGCGGUCUGCUGGGCAGUUUCUGACACUGAGGCGCGACAGCGUGGGGAGCAAACAGG
rnacentral:rRNA from 1 species